UUUGGAGUCUGAGCUGACAUGUAAGAAGUCCAACUACCCUGAAACUGCCCUACUGGAGAGACCAGAUAGAGAGACACAUGCAGAGAGAGGUUAGAGGAGCCCUCAGAUCUUGAAUCUUCCCAGCAUCGACAGGCAAGCCUGUGAGUGGGUGAGCUAUAUUAGAGGACGUUUAUACUUUGGGAAACAGAUCCAGGAGAAAGAAGACUGAUGUGUUGAAAGAAGGUACUUCUAUGUAUGUUCCAUGGAGUCAAGGACAUUGGUUACUGCUGGAUCCCCAACUCUUACAACAGUGUCUGGCACACAGCAGGAGGUCAGUAAAUAUUCUUUGAGUGGAUAUAGUACAGUUUCCAAGUCAGACCUAUUAUGCUAGCUACCAGCAAGACAAAGGGUACUGUCCUCUCAUUGGUCAUGGGGUAAGGAAAGACAGGUAGCCAGCUUUAGUCAGCUACCCAGUGACCAAAGGUUAUUGCCAUGUGGUCAUAGAGGAGGUCAAGGGCAUCUGCCCUAUUCAUAUCUCUCCCCAGGGUUUUUGACAUUUAUUUGUUUGUUGUUAGUAAUGAGUACUAUAAAGAACUUCUUUGACAAAUGGCCCAUUUCAUUAAAGUCACCAAAUAUCUUUUCUAUCCAAAUCUUAUAUAAGCAAUAAUUAUUAGUAACGGCUAUUAUUUACUGAUUGACCACAAUGUGCCACACAUAUAUUAUCUCAUCAAGUUCUUAAAACAACUUUUAGAUCUGUACUAUUAUCCCUGUUUUACUGGUGAAGAAACUGAGGCUUGGAGAAGGUAAGAAACUUGGCCUAGGGCAUAUAGCUCUU